CGGCGGGAGACCGGCCCCCGGCGGCGGCGCAACGAGCCGGGCCCGCCGCCUUGCCCCGCCUCCCUCCCCGCUCCUCCCGCAAGGUGCGGGGCAGCACCAGGAGCUUUGGAUCAGGUCCCAGAGGAUGUCAGAGCUCUGCCAGCCCUACUGAAAAACUGUAGUCCAAAUGCUGGUGUGCUAUUUGGCAAGCCACAACCAUAAGGUUAAGCAGAGGUUGCUAGAUGUAUCCUCCAUGGAGAGAAUCCUGGUGUUGCUUCCAAGAAGACCCAAAGGACAUGCAAUCUGGUGGUAGUGAAUUAUUCAAGAAGAUGCCACUAACAUUUUAAAGCCCCGGUCCCUCUGAUAGCUGAGCAAGACCCACAACAGGAGAUCCGCUAAUGAAGACCUACCUGCUGCUGUCACUCUUCUUCUAAUAUUGCAAGCAUUCUCCUGUUCCACCUCUCCACAACCAUUCUCCGGUUCCAUCUCUCCGUAACAGAGCCUCUACCAACAGCUGAUAAAUGUGCUGGAUUUGCAGUUGCCCCAGGAUGCAGCAGUCAAGGCUGUGCUAUCUGAGCAGGUUGCAAGUAGUGUUUAUUGAGGUCUUCUCUCUAUCUUUUACCAUCAUCAACUGCCCUUUGCCUUGUGGACAACACCGAACAAAUAUGACCCUGUCAUAAGAGGAAGAGCCUAGAAGAAAGGUUGGCUCUACCAGUUUGUGUUCGUACUGGAAUGGCUGAAGCAGUAUAGCUUAUGAGUACAAGCUGUUGUUAACCACUGAGAGACUACGGAAAAGCCUCUGCUGGCAAGUUGUAGUCUGAACCUCCCUCUACCUGCCUGUGCCUGCUGCACCAGAGGAAACCUCGAGACAAGGAUGGAAGACA